rnacentral:rRNA from 1 species
GCGCGGAAGAUGUAACGGGGCUAAACCAUGCACCGAAGCUGCGGCAGCGAACGUAUCACCCAAGACAACUUUACGGAGUUGACGAUUGACGGAGCGAAGCGACGUCAAAGCGUAUUAAAGUCGAGUUGGCUUAGGGAUACGUUCGUUGGGUAGGGGAGCGUUCUGUAAGCCUGUGAAGGUGUGUCGUGAGGCAUGCUGGAGGUAUCAGAAGUGCGAAUGCUGACAUAAGUAACGAUAAAGCGGGUGAAAAGCCCGCUCGCCGGAAGACCAAGGGUUCCUGUCCAACGUUAAUCGGGGCAGGGUGAGUCGACCCCUAAGGC